GAUGAACGCUGGCGGCGUGCCUAAUACAUGCAAGUCGAGCGAACAGACGAGGAGCUUGCUCCUCUGACGUUAGCGGCGGACGGGUGAGUAACACGUGGAUAACCUACCUAUAAGACUGGGAUAACUUCGGGAAACCGGAGCUAAUACCGGAUAAUAUAUUGAACCGCAUGGUUCAAUAGUGAAAGACGGUUUUGCUGUCACUUAUAGAUGGAUCCGCGCCGCAUUAGCUAGUUGGUAAGGUGACGGCUUACCAAGGCAACGAUGCGUAGCCGACCUGAGAGGGUGAUCGGCCACACUGGAGCUGAGACACGGUCCAGACUCCUACGGGAGGCAGCAGUAGGGAAUCUUCCGCAAUGGGCGAAAGCCUGACGGAGCAACGCCGCGUGAGUGAUGAAGGUCUUCGGAUCGUAAAACUCUGUUAUUAGGGAAGAACAAAUGUGUAAGUAACUAUGCACGUCUUGACGGUACCUAAUCAGAAAGCCACGGCUAACUACGUG
rnacentral:rRNA from 1 species